GUUGGAAACACUGGAAAUCCGAGUUCUGAAAAGGCUGGCGUCGGCGGUUCAACUCCGUCCCUGGCCACCA
rnacentral:tRNA from 1 species